rnacentral:misc_RNA from 1 species
UUUCCGUAGGUGAACCUGCGGAAGGAUCAUUACUGAGUUAUGUCCCUUUGUGUCCAACCGCCCACCCAUUCUUAUUAUUCUUUGUUACUUCGUUGAUCCCUCCUCACGGCCUCCAUGGGACAUAUCCCCCCUGGCCUCCUCCAACCCAAAACACCUAGAACUCUGUAUGAAAAUUUCAGUAUGUGCAAAAACUAAAUAAGUUAAAACUUUAAACAGCAGAUCUCUUGGUUCCUGCAUCUAUGAAAAACGCAGCAGAUCUGCACAGCACAUGGCUGA